rnacentral:tRNA from 1 species
UGGCAUCGAGCAGCAGGGUGUCACCGGGGGCCUCGCUCAGGGCGAGGCAGAGGUGCUGAACCCAGCCCAGCAGCAGAUCCUUGCCGUUGAAGCUGCC